rnacentral:misc_RNA from 1 species
CUGUUUGAAUUGGAAAACUGUAACUGGUGUCCGUGAAUUUGUCCGGCGCGGUGAACGCUCGAACUUUUACUCUGUACGUGGAUCCAGACUUCAACGGCCCGUUACAGUAUCCGAUCUUGUUGGACGAGUCCUUUGAAAGCAGCCUGUGCAGGCCCAGGAGGUUCUCCUUCUUUCUCCACGUAAAGAACGGAUUCUAUGGCAUCAGCGGGAUCUAUACUAACUUUGUAAUGGGUGUAAAUGCCGGCAGGAUAGGGCGGUUGCCAGAGAACUAGCAAAGUCGUCUCGUUUCUAAACCACACGAUAAACUUGCCCGGUGUGUUGGGUU